rnacentral:lncRNA from 1 species
UUAACCUAACUUUAACUUAUGUAAUGUCAAAUGGCUCUCUAUCAUAUAUUCUUUUCAUCAAUCAUCAUAUCACUCGUGCUGAUUACAACAUAAAACUUUUUAUAUCAUCUUCCUAUAUUUGUCUAUUUCUCUUCUCCUUCUUCAUUUCAUAAACAUUAUCUCUCUUCUUCAACAGCCACCACAUUGCAACCAUUUGCCACUUGCCAAAGUUGUCAAGUUAAGGUUGUAAAUAAAA